UAAUGGCAUGUUAUUUUCAAAGCCACGAGC
rnacentral:piRNA from 1 species